rnacentral:rRNA from 1 species
UACGUAGGGUGCAAGCGUUGUCCGGAUUUAUUGGGCGUAAAGCGCUCGCAGGUGGUUCGUCGCGUCGUGCGUGAAAGACCCCGGCUCAACUGGGGGAGGUCGUGCGAUACGGGCGGACUGGAGGCCAGUAGGGGGAUGCGGAAUUCCGGGUGUAGUGGUGGAAUGCGUAGAGAUCCGGAGGAACACCAGCGGCGAAGGCGGCAUCCUGGACUGGUCCUGACACUCAUGAGCGAAAGCGUGGGGAGCGAUCCGG